rnacentral:rRNA from 1 species
UCGGAAUUGCUAGUAAUGGCAGGUCAGCAUACUGCCGUGAAUACGUUCCCGGGCCUUGUACACACCGCCCGUCACACCAUGAGAGUUGGAGAUACCCGAAGCCUAUGAGCUAACUUUUAGAGGCAGUAGUCGAAGGUAGAAUCAAUGAUUGGGGUGAAGUCGUAACAAGGUAUC